rnacentral:rRNA from 1 species
AAUGAACGUUGGCGGCGUGGAUUUGGCAUACAAGUCGCGCGAGAAGUCAUUUAGCUUGCUAAAAGACGGACAGCGGCGGAAGGGAGAGUAACGCGUGGUUAUGUACCCUCGAGACCGGGAUAGUGUCGGGAAACUGGCAGUAAUACCGGAUAACAUCUUCGGAUCAAAUGGUGUGAUUCCGCUCGAGGAUCGGACCGCGUACUAUUAGCUAGUUGGAGGGGUAAUGGCCCACCAAGGCUUAGAUGGUUACCGGGUGUGAGAGCAUGGCCCGGCUCACUGGGACUGAGACACUGCCCAGACAUCUACGGAUGGCUGCAGUCGAGAAUCUUCGGCAAUGGACGAAAGUCUGACCGAGCGACGCCGCGUGCGGGAUGAAGGCCUUCGGGUUGUAAACCGCUGUCAGUUAGGAGGAAAUCCAUGAGGGUUCUCUCUCAUGGUUGACCGAUUUUCAGAGGAAGGACGGGCUAAGUUCGUGCCAGCCGCCGCGGUAACAC